rnacentral:rRNA from 1 species
AGAGUUUGAUCCUGGCUCAGGACGAACGCUGGCGGCGUGCCUAACACAUGCAAGUCGAGCGGAGACAGUGAGUAGCUUGCUAUGAGCUGUUUUAGCGGCGGACGGGUGAGUAACGCGUGAGCAACCUUUCCCAGACAGGGGAAUAACACACCGAAAGGUGUACUAAUACCGCAUAAGACCACGGAAUCACAUGGUUCUGGGGUAAAAGAUUUAUCGGUUUGGGGUGGGCUCGCGUCCGAUUAGGUAGUUGGUGAGGUAACGGCCCACCAAGCCGACGAUCGGUAGCCGACCUGAGAGGGUGAUCGGCCACAUUGGGACUGAGACACGGCCCAAACUCCUACGGGAGGCAGCAGUGGGGAAUAUUGCACAAUGGGCGAAAGCCUGAUGCAGCGACGCCGCGUGAGCGAAGAAGUAUUUCGGUAUGUAAAGCUCUAUCAGCAGGGAAGAAAAUGACGGUACCUGACUAAGAAGCCCCGGCUAACUACGUGCCAGCAGCCGCGGUAAUACGUAGGGGGCAAGCGUUGUCCGGAAUAAUUGGGCGUAAAGGGCGCGUAGGCGGCUCGGUAAGUCUGGAGUGAAAGUCCUGCUUUUAAGGUGGGAAUUGCUUUGGAUACUGUCGGGCUUGAGUGCAGGAGAGGUUAGUGGAAUUCCCAGUGUAGCGGUGAAAUGCGUAGAGAUUGGGAGGAACACCAGUGGCGAAGGCGACUAACUGGACUGUAACUGACGCUGAGGCGCGAAAGUGUGGGGAGCAAACAGGAUUAGAUACCCUGGUAGUCCACACUGUAAACGAUGAAUGCUAGGUGUAGGGGGUAUCGACCCCUUCUGUGCCGCAGUCAACACAAUAAGCAUUCCGCCUGGGGAGUACGGCCGCAAGGUUGAAACUCAAAGGAAUUGACGGGGGCCCGCAC